rnacentral:lncRNA from 1 species
GUACAGAGGCCAUCACAUGCUCUCUGAUCAUGUUCUUACCGGGUGUAUUGAGCACGUGGUGCGGCUGGAGGAGGUGGAGUGGGAAGGGAAGGUGACUUGUCCACACUGACACAGUGAGUAAGUGGCACAGCCACUGAAGGGAACCCAGAACUCUGACUCACAAGCUACUCUUUCCUGACACCACCCUGCUGAAAGGUGUAGGAGGAACAGGAUGGGUCAUGGACAGCACAUGAGGGCCAAAUGGGCUGGAGUGUUCAGUUUAGGUUUGUGAGAGAAGAAAUGACUGAAAUGCACCUUGACAGUGAAGAUGGUCACCAUGCUUGCAUCCUGACAGUAGUGAUUGGGAACCAUCUCUGGUGAGCAUUUUAACAUUCUUCUUUCUCUCUUUUCCUUCCUGACCAUGAGGUGAGUGAUUCUGCUCUGUCUUAUGUCCCCACCAUAAUACGCCAUCUCAGGCCCAAAGCCAUGGGGCCAACUGAUCAUGGACCGAAGCCUACAAACCUGUGAGCCAAGAUAACCCUUUUUCUCUUUAUAAGCUGAUUAUCUCAGGUGUUUGUUACAGAAAAGGAAAGCUGACUAACACACUGUCUUCCAACCCCCACCAACAUCAGUUGCCCCAAGAGUGUCUAGAACGGGUGCUGAAAAUGUUCACAGGUGCUGUUUGCAUGACUUGCCACAGAGCUGGGGUAAACACUGCUUGAUUUUUACAGGUAAAACUUUAACACAGAUAAACUCACUCAUUGCAGUGGACCACAUGAUUGUUCUGUGUGUGAUGACUAAUAUAAACAAAGUCGGGCUAAUAUAAACAAAGUGUGGGCAUCCCAGGGUCCAGAAACCAGCGUGUAGAUCUUUCUGGAAGGCCAGCCCAGCUGUGAUCUGCUCAGGGACCAUGAACACCGGAGUAAACUAGAUGAGUAGUGACCAGAAGAACCACAUGGCUGAAUGGGAAGGUGUUUGGUGACUGAGGAAUGACAACUCAUUGACUUUUAAUACUCUACUCAGUUUCUGUCAGGAAAUCCUAAAGGUCUAUCAACUCUCAAGAUAAUCAUUUGGCCAACAGAUUCUUAUACAGAAAUGUUCAGUCUUGAAAAAUGAGUCUUAUAAGCCAGUUGGGAAAAGAGGAAAGUAUUAGCAGUAGGGAGAGAGCACCUGAGGUAGACUUCAGAGGCUGUUAUUCCUCUGGGAUCAGACAUUGCCUUUCAGACACUGGGAACAUUUUUAUGAGUGUAAAAAUUACUGAAGGAGACUUGAAAUAUUUUCAUUCAUGUCAGUUCAAUCCACAGAGCUAUUAAAAUUUUCAAAGCUUUAAGGUACUAAAAUGUAUAUAUCAUCUGAAUGUAAGUAUUGGAGUAACUGAUAACCUGCCUCUGCCAACAAUGGGUGGGGAGGUCGACAGUACUUUAUAUAGCUUUUAUUUAUCUAGAACUAAACCACUGCAUAACCUCAAAUGUCCCCAAAAUAGCUUGGAGACAUGAAAUUUUUUUUUUUAAAAGAGUGAACCUUGGGAAAUACUUUCCUGAAACACUUUUCUCGUAGAACUAGCCCUCAUACCCUGACUCAGAAUACAUUGUACACAUAUCCUUAACCAGUGAGCAUCCCACUUUCAUGCCAUGGCAGUUCAGAAAUAGAAAAUCAGCAGUCGGGAGAGGAUUUCUUACAGCCAUACUCACUAACGAGGAACAGCUGCCGUCAGCCCAGGGCCAGGGCAGAGAAGCAGGAGGGAAGCAGACAAACACAAGAAUCCCAGAGGCACAGUAACUUGGGGCCCCUUAGCAUACAGGCAGAUGUCCUGUCCCUGUCCAUCUGAAUUGCCUACGCCUAUGAUUUUUAUCACAUAUAGCCCUAGAUACGAUGAUUUCUCACUGUGAUGACUUCAAGACCAAAGACAAUAAAUUAAAUUAAGUUCCCCUUACUCUCAGAAAGCAGAAGGGGUAAACUGCAUUUUAGAACAUUUUCUGCCCCAAAUGAUUUUUUCCUUUUUUCUUUCCCUCUUUUCUUUCCCCUCUCCAUACUUACCCUCCUCUUUUCUCUCUUCUGUCUUUGCUUCCUUUUUCCUUCUUUUGGUGCUUUGAAGCACCUGCUUCAAUGUGUCUAGAACUCAGCCCUCCAGAAUGGCCAUCAAGAGAGCUGCAAUUUGCUGUUUUCAGCUCACUGUGUGACUGUAAGGCUUAUUGCACAACUGUGUGAUCAAUAUUUAUUCAUACUCUUUAAGAAUCAUCUCACGGUUUUUAAAUUUCUGAACAGGUGAACUUCUGUUAAAGAUACAGCCUACUGGAAAGGAGGAAAAACAGGGGGAAAACACAACUAACAGAAAUUUUUAGAAGAGGUUGUCAGAAUAAACAUUACAUCAUCAGUGUGGUGGGAGGGAAAAGAGGGUUCCCUUGAGGCAUAAACAAAAUUUCACAGUAUCAUUUAUUUUUACUUUUAGCCUAGCUCACAGACAGAUCUCUAAAACUGCUCAUUAUCACCAAAUGCCCUUUCAAAUGCUGAAGAACUGAAAGAAAGAGCUAAGUUACCUCUCUAUAUGACAUAUAAGAAAUGUCAGCACAUGCAGAUCUUCCCAAGGAAAGAAAAUUUAACUGUAGCAGCUCUGCAGUAAGUUUUAUCAGUUGCUUCCUUCCCUUUUCCCACUCACAGUGCACGUGCACACGUGCAUGCGCGCGCGCACACACACACACACACACACACACACACACAUGCAAACAUACCCCUUUUAGAUUGGGACCUUUGUCCUGCAGGGAAUGUAUAACUUCAAUAGCUGCUCUUCUCUGAAGGCUUCCUGUCAUCCGAACCCUGGAAAACCCUAUGCUUAAUUGUUUCUUGGAUCAUUGCAGAAAUUGAGGAUGGAGACAGAGCCGCCUUUUGUUACCUGUUGUGACUAGCAGUGGUCCAGUGGUCAUAGGCACACUGCCUAUGAGGAAACUGAGGCUCAAGAAAUUUGAGUCAAGUUCCCAAGAGAAACAUCUUACAAGCAGAGAUGGGAUUUAAAGAGAGGUUGCUUCUAACUACUGGGCUCUACUACCAGCCAAUGAGACUUGAACAGUUAUCACUGAAACUGACCCUCAUUUUCUAAGGGUCAGGGAUGGACUGAGAAAAAUGGUACUUGGAAUGUAGACACCAGGAUGCACUGAGGCCCCUACCUUGCACAAGAGAAUUGUGGGCACUCUCGUGUCCCUCAGUAAUGGGCACUUGACUUGUCUGAAUGGCUUACAUGCAGCCCAAAUGGCAGGCGCUGGGACUGCCGGCACAACUGCUGUCGGGAGAAGGUCUGUCCCUGUGCCACCCUGGCAACAAUGGACCAGCCUAUCUAGAAUCUUCUCUGCUGGCCAAGGCACUCUGCAACAUGAAGCGGCAAAGAGAGUAAAAGUGCUGAGCUUCUGCCAUAAAUCCAGUGCUGCACAGCGCCCCAUCCAUUUGGACCACUCACUGUCCAUCCUCUGUGGCAGCGGUCAUAGCCACUGUGCUGAUAGACUCUGUUUGCUACUCUUGAUUGAGUCUGAGUGACCUCCUGAUAAAGCUUUCCUUUAGGCCGCAAAGUGCGCAUCUCCUUUCCAUUUCAAUCAUCUGCAUCAUAAGUGUUUUCCACUUAAUGAGCACACACAGCCAUGAACAAUCCAGUGUGACUUGUAGCACUGUUAUCACGAGCAUCAGUUGGAAGGAUGGCCAAAAAAUCUCACCUGGAAAAGCACAGGACAGUGAGCAUCUGUGCUCCAUGCACCCAACUGCACCGAGACCCUUCUGCACUAAUGAGCAGGGCAGGCAGCUUGCUCCAGCACAGCUCAGUCACCCUGCAUUCCCCAGGCAAGGUGCUGCUCCCAUCAGGAGCUAAAGUCUUCCUGGAAAAGGAGAGCUGCUUUUCUCUCCCUGUUGGCCACCGCCCACUGGAGAGGUAGAAAUUGUUAAAGAUAUGUUUAUCAUAGUCCCUGCCCCAGUAACAAAUCACCUAAUGUGAAAUGCAGGGACAAAACAAGUAUGUAAAGAACUUUCAGGAAACUAAACAAGUAUGAUAAAAAUCUUUGGAUUAUAUACAGGCAAAAGGAAACUGCAUUUUCUGACAAAUGAAUACAAGUUGUAAGUGAGCCUUUGGGGGAGGAAUAACCAUCUUUCCUCCAAAUUUCCAGAAACUUGGUGAAGAAAUUUUUUUAAUCCUUACACCCUAAUUAGUUUAGUAACAAAUGAUGAGCAUAGUCAAGACUGUUGAAAGUAAGAGAAACAGAACUCAAAUAAAGGGCAAUAUAUUUAUUCAUUAUCUAAAAAUAUUCAGAACAGUUCCAGAUAUUCAAACAAUGUCUUCAGACUUAUUCUACAGGCUUCUGUUUUGCCUUCCUCUCCCAAUUUCAUUCUCAAGAAGGUAAUCCUUUUUUUAUUUUUUUUAUUUUUUUUGACAAGAUGUCCAACAGAAGUUCUGGGCUAAUUUUCUGGAGCCAAGAAGAGAAUUUCUCUUUUCCAGUACAUAUAGCCUAGUAGACGCCAACCGUAGGCUCACAGCCUCGCCUCUGACAGUCUCCUCAGUAACAUCUGCUCACUCCUGAAGCAUCAGCCUACUGAACCCUCUUGUUGGCCACUUAUGAACCUUGUGAUCUGUCCUGGGCUGCUGUAAGAGUCAACUCCACCAGAACCCAGGGACUGCGGGGCAGGGGGGGGGGGCCUCCCUAAAGAGAACUAGGGUCCUGCUCUCAUGGGAAGAAAUGAGUGUUGGGCAGACAAAAGCAACAAAUACCAUGACAUGGAACAAAAAUAAAUGUACAUUGCUACAGGAUUCUCAUUAAGAACUUUAAAAUCAUUCCCAGCUUUAUAAAGUAAUUUUUAAAAGGUCAACUACCUGGGUCUUUCAUAGAAUUUAUGAUUGCUUUGACCUAGUAUGCAGGUCAACAAAAAAUUCUUUGUACCUCUUACCAAUAAUGGUUGGCCAGGAACAUUUCCUGUUAAUUCCUACUUUAGAAUAUUGCAUAAGUCCUUAUUUCAGAAAUAAACAAAUAUAGAUUAAAAACAAACCAAAAAACUCAAAAAGUGUUCUGGUGAAAGUUUUCUAUAUUCACAUCACAUUUUUUUUAGCAAGAAAGACUAUCUGGCUAAAUAAUAAUUUAGAUUUUAAAAAAGAAAAAAUAGCAAUAGCUAUUUAUAAUAAAUACAAAGAGAUAAUAAGAAAAGAUAAAAUUUAAAAAAGUAGCCAUUCACUUGUUGCAAAUGCAAAGAAGACAUAUAAAAAGAAGUCUUUCAUGG